CCCUUAGAUGUCCUGGGCCGCACGCGCGCUACACUGACGGAGCCAGCGAGCGUGUCCUUCGCCGAAAGGUGCGGGUAAUCUUGGCAGCCUCCGUCGUGCUGGGGAUAGAUGGUUGCAAUUAUUGAUCUUGAACGAGGAAUUCCUAGUAAGCGCGAGUCACCAGCUCGCGUUGAUUACGUCCCUGCCCUUUGUACACACCGCCCGUCGCUACUACCGAUUGGAUGGCUUAAUGAGAGCUCUGGAUCUCUGCCGGCGCGGUCCUCACGGGUCGCGUUGGAUGGGGAGAAGUUGCUCAAAUUGAGUCUUCUAGAGGAAGUAAAGGUCGUAACA
rnacentral:rRNA from 1 species